GACGAACGCUGGCGGCGUGCUUAACACAUGCAAGUCGAACGAUGAAGCCCAGCUUGCUGGGUGGAAGAGUGGCGAACGGGUGAGUAACACGUGAGUAACCUGCCCUGAACUCUGGGAUAAGCACUGGAAACGGUGUCUAAUACUGGAUACGACCUAUCACCGCAUGGUGUGUGGGUGGAAAGAUUUAUCGGUUCUGGAUGGACGCGCGGCCUAUCAGCUAGAUGGUGAGGUAAUGGCUCACCAUGGCGACGACGGGUAGCCGGCCUGAGAGGGUGACCGGCCACACUGGGACUGAGACACGGCCCAGACUCCUACGGGAGGCAGCAGUGGGGAAUAUUGCACAAUGGGCGCAAGCCUGAUGCAGCAACGCCGCGUGAGGGAUGACGGCCUUCGGGUUGUAAACCUCUUUUAGUAGGGAAGAAGCGAAAGUGACGGUACCUGCAGAAAAAGCACCGGCUAACUACGUG
rnacentral:rRNA from 1 species